GAGCAUGUAUGAUGCUUACUCUAUGACAUCAAAUUUUCAAACAAAUACCCCAUACAAGUACUACAAAUAGUCAACAAGCAAUUGGAAACCCUAGAAGUUCUUGUUAGGUCCAUUUUGGACUAGGACUUCCUUAUUGGACUCAUUGGACCAAUAAGCCUCCAAUUUGACUAUCAUGGGAUUAGAACCUUUAAAUGGGCUCUAAGUGGACCCACAUCCAUUUAUUUCAACAUUUUGGGCCAUAUUGAGCCUAGAAUGAAAUGAAUUAAAAAUUAUGAACCAUGAUUAACCUAAACUAGCCCAACAAAGUGUAAAAAUCAUAUUAUAUUUUUUUGGGCCAGAAAUCAUCCAACUUAACUCCUAUGUGGGCUUAGGGGCAAUAAAGCCCAAAAAUCUUUUCUUCCUUCCCAAAUCUCGGCCCAAGGCAAGCCCAUGAGAAAGGAGUUGACUUAAUACAUGCCACCUCACUUACAUCCCACAUAUCUCCAUGCAUGGACCAACAUGCAUCAAGGAAUGUCAACUCAACCCUUUCUCUCCUCUUUCUUCUUGCUCUCGGCCAAACACAACACACACACACUCACAAAAAUCUAUUCCACUCUCUCUAAAUCUUGAAGAACAUCUCCUUCCCCCUUCUUCAAAAAUUUCGAGAAUCAAGAGCUUCUCAAGGAGGCUUUUCCCACAAAAUCAUCAUCUAAGGUAAGUUGAUGACUAAUCCAUGAUCUAGCUACUUCAUUCCAUCAAAAAUCUCUUCUAAAUCUAUUCCAACUUGUGAUCAUGCACCUUAGAAGUCACCAAACUCGAGAUCUACCAAGGAAAGGUGCUAGGGCCAAAAAUCACUUCAUUUUUCUUCCAUCUUCUCUCCAAAACCGAAACCACACCCAAGGUGAGCUUCAUACCCCUUUAUUUUUGGUUUUUAUAAGUUUUGUGGGGUGAGAAUACAAGAAAAUGUGUAGAUCUAUGAUUAUGUGUAUGCUUUGUAUGAUUUUCUAUGUUUAUUUUCAUAUUAUUAUGUGUUAAUGGUGUUGAAACUAGUCAGAAUGACCUUAAAAUCGAGAUUUGCAAUAUGAAGUAUGAAACAAGUGCUAAACAUAUCAUUACACAUAAGUAAUUACUAGAAAAAUAACCAAGUUGGGUUAGAUGAACUCCUUGGGCUAAAAAUCACAUUUUUGGACUCAAAAUGUAAAAAUAUGAAAUUAAAGGGACCAAAAUGUCAAAAUACAAAUUCUGGGGGUUAAUAUGUGUCAAAACAGUUUCAUAAAGGAAUUUUCCAGAAAUUGACACCUUAGAAUGAUUAAAAUGUAAAUUUUUAAACUUAAUGGACUAAAAGUGAACUUUUCGGCCCAAUAAGGCCCAAUAUGCGAGAUUUGCAAAGUUAAGGGGCUGAAAAUGUAUUUUCCAUAAAACAGGGGACUACUAGUGUCCCAAGUCCAUUUCAAAGGUUAAAAAUGCUUUUCAUAUUUAAAAGAGACCAAAAAUGCAAAAAUUCUCUAUUUUGGGCCAAAAGUGUAAAAUUUACGAAAAGAGGGUUCCAGCCGAAAAAGUUUCAUUUUGAGGAACUAAAACUGUUUUUCAAAAAGCUUUGAGCUGAAAAAUACUUUUUCUACAAGUUUGAUACUAAAGUGUCAAGAAAAAUGGUCUAAGGACUAAAAUAAAAAGUAUUAUAUAUAAAGGGUCCAAAAGUGUAAAUUCAUCCAAAAGGAAGGGGCUGGAAAAUGUAAAAUACUAAUGUCUUAAAUAAUGAACCCGACACGAUGAAAUACUAGUACCACGACUAUCGGCGAAAUUCAAUACACCUUCAACACCAAAAUCGUUAUCAAACGAAUUGAUUCGGUCUCGAAUCAAUAACAAUCCGAAACUACUAACACGACGAUAUUUCAAUACACACAUGGAAAUCUCGGGAAUUCAAUACACACGCGAGAAUACACCAGACGUCAAGACACCGUCUUUGGGCCCAAAAGUUUCAAAUCAUGUUAGUUGGGCCUAGCUAGCCCAAUAGCAUGAUCUUUAGGCCCGAAGGAAUUUUGCUUACAUGUAGUCGGGUCUAAUACGACUUAAUUCCGUGUAAAAGGACUUUCAAUGGCAAACAUGCUGCUGGUCCCCAAGGGUCCUUCGGUACUACUAGCGAAGUCGAGAAUUCACCAAUGCGAGUAGGGCUAAGGGCCCUUCGCAUUCACGAUAGCCUUGAACAACGUAGGGAAAUACUUGGGCUUCGCACCCUCUUUUUCCCCUCAGUUGUGGGGCUACAUGAGUCCGGGGGGUUGGGUUAAGUGAAUAAGUGCAAGCGACGCCUAAGGGAUCAUUUGUACGGUUGUCAACUGGUCAUUUUCAUUAAUGUACGUUACAACAAUUCACAAUCCACAAUUAAUCCAACGUCCCCGGAGCUCAACGAAUACACCUGUCGUAACGAAUACACCUGUCGUAAUGAAAUAACGAAACAUAAAAUUAUUUAAUGCAAAGUAAUGGGAAAACGUCGGGUUUUCCUAGGAUUUUCAAUUAAUACACCUACGAACUAUAUACUGAGUUUUACAAAUUGUACGCUUACAUCUAUAGAAAACAAACAAGCAUACUUACGGAUCUUCACACCUUUUAUACUAUACUAUUUUCAGAAAAUAUCGGAUUUUCUGGUGGUUUUCAAAGUUAUACAAAUCAUUUUCAAAAACAUGCUUAUGAACUCACCAAAAUUUUUAUGUUGACCGUUUUUCAAAAUAACUUGUAUUCUCAGGAUACCGACGAGGCAGGAUGAACGAAACGAACUAAUGGAUAUUGUGUUAUAUUUUGUCUCAUCAUACUUGUACUAUUUUGACAUGUAAUAUUCAAAUACAAUACUCGAUGUAAACAAUGAAUGUUGUAAUAUUACAUGUGUGAUGAUGAUGAUGUUAUGUUUCAAUUAUAUUCAUUGUAAUGAUAUUUCAAGAUGAAGUCACGCACAAGCCCCCGGACGUUUCCGCCAUCUGGUUCGGGGGUGUGACAGAUUGGUAUCAGAGCUUUGUUUAUAGUGAAGUAGCAUAUCUAGCCACACAUUGAUAUGCAACUAUAAACCAAAAGAGGGACUAACACAACUCUGAACAAAACAAGUAAAACACAACAAUAAAACACCUUUGCUUGUAUUAGGAAAAAGAACAUAAUACCGAACCAAACAAGAUAAUACUAGUAUCUCGGUUAAUCCAAGACUGUUCUUAGUUGUAUCAAGGAGCGGAUGUAGCCUGAUCAACUACAUUCCCUCCAAGGUACAACCAUCACAUGUCUUGAAGAAAUCGUGAUAGCUAGGGAAUCUAAAAACAUACCCCUUAAUCUCCAAGAAGGGAACCUCAACUAAAUCUAUGCAAUAGUUGUAGAAUUAUAGGAGUAAUUGGUAUGCUAUUUGAUUCUAGUAUUCAUAGUCCUUCGUGCAAUACGCUGUAGACAAGUAUCAUUAGCCAGGAAACCCUAUCUCCCUAGUCAAGGAAUAGUAGGGUGGCUCGACCCAAAGGAAGAACCACAGGAGGAACACGAAGUAGAACUCGUAGGUGAACCCGCUGAGUCAAUAGUGGACCUCGAAGAGGAAGAGCCCAAGGGCAAUGAUGAUGAUGACUCGGAUGCAGAAUCUGAUGUCAUCAAUCAUCCAUGAAAAGCCAGAGUACCGACUUAUCGUGUGGGCCCCGAUGGCCCCAUGCCCCCUUGGACUUACGAAAUUUGGAGAUAGAGUCACCAGCAGGGGAUACGAUCACACUAGGGUAGGAACCGAGGUCUCUCCGACCAUUAGCCAUAGAGGACCAGCUGACCAGGCCCUCCCAAUCAUGGUCCGACGCACCCAAGGUAUUGAUAACCAAGCUCAGGACACCCCAAAUCGAACGAAACAAAUGUGGGUUGCUAUUAAGAGGGAUGAGAGGCAAACACGGGAAGUGAAUGGAGACUCUCGAGCGAGACAGUUAGUUUGGGAGGUACGCCUACGAGAUACCGAGCAACAAGUAGCUCGUCUCCGAGGUGCAUCCACUUCAUCAGCAUCACCACCAGACACUUCCCGCCACGACUAGGAUCAGCCUUUUCUAGUUUCCCCUACUAUCCGACAUGACUCUCUUUCGUGUACUAAGAUGGUACUUACCCCUGAAACAAUUAUGUGUUAUAUUUAUUUCAUAUUGCUACAAAGACUCAAUUAUAUGCACAAGCGAACCCUCGAGACCACUAGAUACUUAAGGAUCUCGAAACCAAAACAACCCAUAUAUUCUAAGGAUAGACGUAACAAUCAUGCCAAAUCUGUGAUUACCUACUACCGCAAAUACAUCAUAGGGAUGUAGAUGGAGGCAGUAAGAAUUAUACAACAAGAUGCAAAAUUUAUAGAGUACAACCAGGAAUGACGAUCAUUACUUACGAUCUGGGUUAUCAACGUGCAUCAGGAAAAUGCCAUCCCGCAAGAAUAACAAGCGCACCCGCAAGACACCACUCCUGCAGAUGGACUCUGCUACAUUUCAAGCUGCUGUAAUGGCAGCAGUAACCGUUGCUAUGACACAAAUCAAUGCAAACAACCCUAAUGGAGACGGGAAUAGCAUUUACGACUCCAGCCAAAGGAACAAACAUGGAAACCAACAAGUGACAACCUGUCAAGGAACUCCAAACCCCAAGCUCAAGAGCAGGAAGCUGAGGUCUGGAAGUAAGAGAAAGGGACGACACACUCAAGGGUUCUCAAGGGAGCAACAUGUUGUUGCUGUUCAUGCGACCAUGACCCCUAUUACACCAGCAACCAGGAGACCAUAUGCUGGAAACCUUCCAAAAUGCAACCAGUGCAAAUUCCAUCAUAAUGGAGCCUGUAGGGAGAUGCAUUGUAACAAAUGCAACCGAAAGAAUCACAUCGCCAAAUUCUGUAGAACUUAUCCAUGCCAGAAUCGCCAGCCAAAUGAAAACGACAACAAUCGCAACAACCGUAACAACAACACCAAUGAUGAGACCAGUCACACCUGCUAUAGGUGUGGAGGAACUGGUCACCUCAGGCGCAAUUGCCCCAGGGAUAACAAUCAAGGAGCAGAAGGAUCAGAAAUCGUCCUGACCUUGGGUCAAGGCGAAUCAAUCCAAGACCCAACGGUUGUUACUGGUAUGUUCCCACUUGACAACUCUUUCGCUUACCUCUUAUUUAAUGGUAAAUCCGAGCGAAGUUUCGAUUAGUAACAUAUUCAAACACUUACUAAAACCACAUCCCCAAAGCUAAGCUAAGCCUUUUCAAUGGACAUGGCCAAUGGGGAAAACCGAUUUAACCUAGGAUACUUAUGUGGAGUACACCUUAACACUAAACAACCAUUCAUUACAAAUAGAUUUCAUGCCAGUAAAUAUUAGGAGUUUUAAUGUGAUAAUCGUCAUGGUUGGGUUAAGCCCCCACCUUGCUGAUACUAUGUGUCGCGAGAAGGCCGUUUGCCUUCACCUUCCUAAUCACAAAAACUCUAAUAAUCCAUGGUGAUAAACUUGGCGCCAAUCCUUUUCCUAUCUCGUGCAUCAAGGCAAAGAAGUGCCUGCACCAGAAGAACUAAGUUUUCCUCACUCAUGCUGUGGACAAGACCAAAGAAGAGGUAGGCAUACAAGGUAUUCCAGUAACAUGUGAUUUUUCCAAAUGUGUUCCCCAAGGAACUUUCGGGAAUAUCCCAGAGAGACAGGUCGAAUUUCGAAUCAACCUCGUACAGGGAACCACAUCAAUCGCCAAUUAACCCUAUAGGUUAGCUUCCGCUGAAAUUCAGAAGUUAUCCAGACAAUCAAGAAAAUUUCCGAGCGAAGGAUUCAUCAUACCAAGCUUCUCACCUUGGAGAGCUUCGGUCUUGUUCUUCAAGAAGACGGAUCCUUCGGAAGGUACAUCGAUUUUAGGAAAUUGAAUAAGCUCCCUAUAGAAAAUCGAUACCCACUUCCUUGGACUGGCGAUCUAUUUGGCCAGCUCCAAGGUGCUAGUUACUUCUCAAAAAUAGAUCUAAGAACCGGUUAUCAUCAACUUCAAUUCCGAGAAGACGACAUUCCAAAAACUGCCUUCCGAACUCGUCACGACCAUUUGAAAUUCAUUGUGAUACCCUUCGGUCUAACGAAUGUUCACACACUAUUCAUGGACCUUACAAACCAAGUUUUCUCAACCACACCUGGUCAGCCUUUUCAUUAUUUUCAUCAAUAACAUACUCGUCUGCCCACGAAGCGAGAACGAAACACUGUCAACACCUACUACCAGCCUUGAAAGCAUCAAAUCCAGAGAAUAUCGUGAAGAAAGCACUGCAUGGAUGGAUAGAACUCUCGGAGUUGAAAGACGAAGCUUAUAGGUACGCAAGUUGAAUUGGGCGUUAUCUGGGUGAUCGUCGAUAGGUUAACCCAAACUGCCUAUUUCCUGCUAAUACUAAAAUCAAACAAGACAGAAAGAUCUACAUGGAUCUAUAUCAAAGAGAUCGUGAGACUCCAUGAAAUAUCAGUACCUGUUAUCUUGGAUCGAGAUAACAGGAUUACUUCAAGACUUGGACAGUCAUUCUAGAAGGCUAUGGGAACAUAGCUAAAUAUGAGCAUUGUUUUCUACUCUCAAACCAAUAGUCAAGACGAACCAUUCAACCACUCUAAUUCAUGCGACAAUUCUGGGUGUUUGAGUUCAACAAGUCGGGGGAUACCCGCUUGCCCUUGGUUGAAUUCUCACGCAAUGACAGUUAUCACACGAGCAUCAAGAUUGCUCGUUUCAAAACCCUUUAUAGUCAAAAAUUCCUAUUACUCGCCAGUGCUCUCAUGAGACCAGAAACCAUUUGCGAAACAACAGAGAAGAUAAUCCAAAUCAAAGCCUGACUUCAAGCAUCGCGAGACCGACAGAAGAGCUACUCCGACAAGCGACGUAAGCCAAUAGGAUGUCAAGUCGGGGAUCGCGUGUUAUUAAAAGAAUCUCCUUGGAAAGGAAUGAUUCUCUUUAGAAAACGGGGAAAACUGAACCCACAAUACAUUGGACCUUUCGAGAUCGUCGCCCGAAUAGGUCCAGUGGCGUAUAAGCUGCAGCAACCCGCAGAGCUAAACAAUGUUCACCCCGUGUUCCAUGUCUCUAAUCUAAAGAAGUGUCUAUCGGAUGAAACACUCGUCAUUCCCCUUGACGAAAUCGAAAUCAAUGAGAAUCUCCUGUUCGUGGAAGUACCGGUUGAAAUCAUGGACAGGGAGGUGAAGCGUACUAAGCAAAGUCGCAUCCCGAUCGUGAAGUUACGGUGGAACGCGAAGCGUGAGCCAGAAUUCACAUGGGAGCGCGAAGACCUAACAAAGCAGAAGUACCCUCACCUAUUCUAGCAUUCUCAAAUCUAGCUUUCAAACAGAAUUUCGGGACGAAAUUCCCUCUAACGGGGGGAUGAUGUCACAACUAGAAAUUUUGUGUCAUGUAAUCUCUACACCCAAGUAAAAUGUAGAAUCAAAAACUUAAAGAGCAUGUAUGAUGCUUACUCUAUGACAUCAAAUUUUCAAACAAAUACCCCAUACAAGUACUACAAAUAGUCAACAAUCAAUUGGAAACCCUAGAAGUUCUUGUUAGGUCCAUUUUGGACUAGGACUUCCUUAUUGGACUCAUUGGACCAAUAAGCCUCCAAUUUGAAUAUCAUGGGAUUAGAACCUUUAAAUGGGCUCUAAUUGGACCCACAUCCAUUUAUUUCAACAUUUUGGGCCAUAUUGAGCCUAGAAUGAAAUGAAUUAAAAAUUAUGAACCAUGAUUAACCUAAACUAGCCCAACAAAGUGUAAAAAUCAUAUUAUAUUUUUUUU
rnacentral:lncRNA from 1 species